GGCUGUAGCUCAAUGGAAGAGCUCUUGACUUGCAAGUGUGAGGCACUGGGUUCAAUCCUCAGCACCA
rnacentral:tRNA from 1 species